GGACGGGUGAGUAACACGUGGGUAACCUGCCCUAAAGUGGGGGAUAACAUUUGGAAACAGAUGCUAAUACCGCAUAAAACCUAACACCGCAUGGUGUAGGGUUGAAAGAUGGUUUCGGCUAUCACUUUAGGAUGGACCCGCGGUGCAUUAGUUAGUUGGUGAGGUAAAGGCUCACCAAGACCGUGAUGCAUAGCCGACCUGAGAGGGUAAUCGGCCACACUGGGACUGAGACACGGCCCAGACUCCUACGGGAGGCAGCAGUAGGGAAUCUUCCACAAUGGACGAAAGUCUGAUGGAGCAACGCCGCGUGAGUGAAGAAGGUUUUCGGAUCGUAAAACUCUGUUGUUGGAGAAGAAUGUAUCUGAUAGUAACUGAUCAGGUAGUGACGGUAUCCAACCAGAAAGCCACGGCUAACUACGUGCCAGCAGCCGCGGUAAUACGUAGGUGGCAAGCGUUGUCCGGAUUUAUUGGGCGUAAAGCGAGCGCAGGCGGUUUCUUAAGUCUGAUGUGAAAGCCUUCGGCUCAACCGAAGAAGUGCAUCGGAAACUGGGAGGCUUGAGUGCAGAAGAGGACAGUGGAACUCCAUGUGUAGCGGUGAAAUGCGUAGAUAUAUGGAAGAACACCAGUGGCGAAGGCGGCUGUCUGGUCUGUAACUGACGCUGAGGCUCGAAAGCAUGGGUAGCAAACAGGAUUAGAUACCCUGGUAGUCCAUGCCGUAAACGAUGAGUGCUAGGUGUUGGAGGGUUUCCGCCCUUCAGUGCCGCAGCUAACGCAUUAAGCACUCCGCCUGGGGAGUACGACCGCAAGGUUGAAACUCAAAGGAAUUGACGGGGGCCCGCACAAGCGGUGGAGCAUGUGGUUUAAAACGAAGCAACGCGAAGAACCUUACCAGGUCUUGACAUCCUUUGACCACUCUAGAGAUAGAGCUUUCCCUUCGGGGACAAAGUAACAGGUGGUGCAUGGUUGUUGUCAGCUCGUGUCGUGAGAUGUUGGGUUAAGUCCCGCAACGAGCGCAACCCUUAUUACUAGUUGCCAGCAUUAAGUUGGGCACUCUAGUGAGACUGCCGGUGACAAACCGGAGGAAGGUGGGGACGACGUCAAAUCAUCAUGCCCCUUAUGACCUGGGCUACACACGUGCUACAAUGGAUGGUACAACGAGUUGCGAGACCGCGAGGUUUAGCUAAUCUCUUAAAACCAUUCUCAGUUCGGAUUGUAGGCUGCAACUCGCCUACAUGAAGCCGGAAUCGCUAGUAAUCGCGG
rnacentral:rRNA from 1 species